GAUGAACGCUAGCUACAGGCUUAACACAUGCAAGUCGCGGGGCAGCAUGGGGGUUGCUUGCAAUCCCCGAUGGCGACCGGCGCACGGGUGAGUAACGCGUAUCCAACCUGCCCUUCACCACGGGAUAACCCGGCGAAAGUCGGACUAAUACCGUAUGUUGUCCAUUGACGGCAUCCGAUUUGGACGAAAGGCUUGGCGGUGAGGGAUGGGGAUGCGUCCGAUUAGCCAGACGGCGGGGUAACGGCCCACCGUGGCUACGAUCGGUAGGGGUUCUGAGAGGAAGGUCCCUCACACGGGAACUGAGACACGGUCCAGACUCCUACGGGAGGCAGCAGUGAGGAAUACUAGUCAAUGGGCGUAAGCCUGAACCAGCCAAGUAGCGUGCAGGAUGACGGCCCUAUGGGUUGUAAACUGCUUUUAUGCGGGGAUAAAGUGGCCCACGUGUGGGCUUUUGCAGGUACCGCAUGAAUAAGGACCGGCUAAUUCCGUG
rnacentral:rRNA from 1 species